GACGAACGCUGGCGGCGUGCCUAAUACAUGCAAGUCGAACGCAGUGGGGACGGGUGAGUAACACGUGGGUAACCUCCCAUCAGAGGGGAUAACACUUGGCAACAGGUGCUAAACCGAUACUGAUGGAUGGACCCGCGGUGCAUUAGCUAGUUGGUGGGGUAACGGCUCACCUAGGCCACGAUGCAUAGCUGAGCUGAGAGGGUGAUCGGCCACACUGGAACUGAGACACGGCCCAGACUCCUACGGGAGGCAGCAGUAGGGAAUAUUGGGCAAUGGACGAAAGUCUGACCGAGCAACGCCGCGUGAGUGAAGAAGGUCUUCGGAUCGUAAAACUCUGUUGUUAGGGGAGCGGUAUCUAACGAGAAAGCAACGGCUAACUACGUGCCAGCCGCCGCGGUAAUUC
rnacentral:rRNA from 1 species